GUAUGUUAAUAAAGUGUGACUUUGAUGAACAUAUUAUACAAUGUAGUUACUGAGGUAUGCUAAUGAAGUGUGACUUUGAUGAACAUAUUAUACAAUGUAGUAACUGAGGUAUGCUAAUGAAGUGUGACUUUGAUGAACAUAUUAUACAAUGUAGUUACUGAGGUAUGUUAAUGAAGUGUGACUUUGAUGAACAUAUUAUACAAUCAAGUUACUGAGGUAUGCUAAUGAAGUGUGACUUUGAUGAACAUAUUAUACAAUGUAGUUACUGAGGUAUAUUAAUAAAGUGAGACUUUGAUGAACAUAUUAUACAAUCAAGUUACUGAGGUAUGCUAAUGAAGUGUGACUUUGAUGAACAUAUUAUACAAUGUAGUUACUGAGGUAUGUUAAUAAAGUGAGACUUUGAU